GAUGAACGCUGGCGGCGUGCCUAAUACAUGCAAGUCGAGCGAACAGACGAGGAGCUUGCUCCUCUGACGUUAGCGGCGGACGGGUGUGUAACACGUGGAUAACCUACCUAUCAGACUGGUAUCACCUCGGGAAACCGGCGCUAAUACCGGAUAAUAUAUUGAACCGCAUUGUUCAAUAGUGAAAUACGGUUUUGCUGUCACUUAUAGCUGGAUCCGCGCCGCAUUAGCUAGUUGGUAAGGUCACGGCUUACCAAGGCAACGAUGCGUAGCCGACCUGAGAGAGGGAUCGGCCACACUGGAGCUGAGACACGGUCCAGACGCCUGAGGGAGGCAGCAGUAGGGAAUCUUCCGCAGUGGGCGAGAGCAUGACGGAGCAGCGCCGCGUGAGAGAUGAAGGUCUUGGGAGCGUAAAACUCUGUUAUGAGGGAAAAACAAAUGUGGAAGGAGCUAUGCACGGCGUGACGGUACCGGAUCAGAAAGCCACGGCUAACUACGUG
rnacentral:rRNA from 1 species